CUGCUCAGGACGAACGCUGGCGGCGUGCCUAAUACAUGCAAGUCGAGCGGACAGAUGGGAGCUUGCUCCCUGAUGUUAGCGGCGGACGGGUGAGUAACACGUGGGUAACCUGCCUGUAAGACUGGGAUAACUCCGGGAAACCGGGGCUAAUACCGGAUGCUUGAUUGAACCGCAUGGUUCAAUUAUAAAAGGUGGCUUUUAGCUACCACUUACAGAUGGACCCGCGGCGCAUUAGCUAGUUGGUGAGGUAACGGCUCACCAAGGCAACGAUGCGUAGCCGACCUGAGAGGGUGAUCGGCCACACUGGGACUGAGACACGGCCCAGACUCCUACGGGAGGCAGCAGUAGGGAAUCUUCCGCAAUGGACGAAAGUCUGACGGAGCAACGCCGCGUGAGUGAUGAAGGUUUUCGGAUCGUAAAACUCUGUUGUUAGGGAAGAACAAGUACCGUUCGAAUAGGGCGGUACCUUGACGGUACCUAACCAGAAAGCCACGGCUAACUACGUGCCAGCAGCCGCGGUAAUACGUAGGUGGCAAGCGUUGUCCGGAAUUAUUGGGCGUAAAGCGCGCGCAGGCGGUUUCUUAAGUCUGAUGUGAAAGCCCCCGGCUCAACCGGGGAGGGUCAUUGGAAACUGGGGAACUUGAGUGCAGAAGAGGAGAGUGGAAUUCCACGUGUAGCGGUGAAAUGCGUAGAGAUGUGGAGGAACACCAGUGGCGAAGGCGACUCUCUGGUCUGUAACUGACGCUGAGCG
rnacentral:rRNA from 1 species